rnacentral:rRNA from 1 species
AUGGAGGAAGAGGCACUGCUAGAGGAGGGACAUAAUAACAGUGAUGACUCUGAGGCUGCUUCAUAUGACAGUGAUAACAAUCCUUUCUACAUGGAGAAGUACAGGAUAAUUGAAGACACGGAGAUAAUUGAGGGGAAUAAACUAGCAGAGCAAGAAGUUGAAGAUGUAGAUUCAGAUGAAGAUUCAGAUGAGGAUUCAGAAGAGGAACAAUUACAUUAUGAGGGUGACACUGAGGUUGAGGACUUGUUUGAGAUGGAGGAGGAGGAGGAGCAGGAGCAGGAGGAUGAGGUCAAUGUUGUUGCAACAGAAGAAGCACCAAUGCAAAAACCUGCAAAAAGAGGAAGAAGCUGGUAG